CCUCCAUCGUUGCUGCUGCGAUCGGGCGAUCGGGCGAGCGGGCAACAAACGCUGCAUCCUUGAAACCCUAAUCCUCGAUUGUUUCGAGCUUGAACCAGAUCCUUCCGGACUGUUUCACUCUCAGAUCGAAAGGCUUCACCGUCGGACCUUGUUGCAGAACCCCUUUUGGGAUUGCUUUUAGGCGUUUGUUGCUCCAUUUGAUGCUGUGAGGGACCGGACCGGCCUUUCGUUUUACUUUUUAUUGGGUUAUUAAGAGCGUGACGUUGAGCAUGUAAUAUGUGCUGUAGCUGCUUGAAAUCCUAAGGAAAGCUCGACAUAGUUAACAUGGUUGAGACCUAUUCUUUGCUCUGGUCGUGAUGGAAUAGUCAACUUACUCUUUGAAUCGCUCUGAUGAUAUGCUAUGAAUUGGUUUUUGAUUUCUUGCACAGUUUCUGUAAUUCCUGUUUUCAGGAACUAUGACAGGAGUUUAAGAAGUCAGUUAGCCUCAAAGGUGAUCAACCUGAUUUUUCUAUGCAGAGAAGAUCAAUGAGAUGUCUCCACAUCUGGCACUGCAACAUGAGAACAACACUUUUGGUUCUGAUCUCAAAGAAAAACUUUGAAGGCCAAAUUGCACGCUGGCACUUAGUACUCUUCACCAAAUGUCUAUCAAAUAGAUGAGUUAUCCUGUCACUUCUGGAAUAUUGACUCUUCUUUUCUGUCAUACAAGUUUGAUGUUUCUAUGGCCUUAGUUAUGGAGAAACAAAUAUAAAGAAUCAAAAGGAAAACCAAGAGCAAAAUGGACUAUUCGAUAUUUUCAAAAGGCGUGCCAAAAUUGAGGCUUAUGAUAGAUGGAAAGGUGCAGGUUCUCUCGUUACUCCUGCAAAGAUUGAAGAAGCCACAGAGUAGUCAGCUGAUGGACAGGGAGGAUUAUCUUUCCAGUAAGAGGAUUGCUGAGGAAGCAGAAUCUGCAUUUGCUGCCAAGGCAUUAUUAAAGAGGGUGGUGAUGAAGAGAGAAAGAGAAGAAAAAAGAACAAAGAAGUGGCCGAGGUAGAGACAAGUGAUCUGCAGAUUUCUGAUGAAAUCACUGUAGAUGAAGCAAAGGAAAUAAAGGGGCAUCCAGCGCAUGAGGCUCCCUCCAAUGUGGGUUCUACGAGGAUCAACGUAUGCAGCCUUCCCUUUAAAUGUUUAAAGAGGCUUGUCUUUCGGGCCGUAAGGGCAUAACCUCAUCGUUGUACCAAGGCCCGCCCUUAUGAAGUCGAAGAAAUGCAGAUAAAAAGAAGAAAAGAUAGAGAAUGAUAUGACAUGUAGAGAAUUAAGAUCUUCCGCACCACUGGUUGAAGAGGACUGCAGCAGAAAAAAAAUGUAAGAACAAGCAGACAGGAGCAGGGAGCAGCUGAUUCUUCAAGGAAGAGAAAGGAAAAAAGAAAGGCACGAAAGUCAACUGAUUGGGCUUGGGAUACAGAUGCAGGGAACUUAAUGCAUGCUUCAACAAUGGUCCUCCAAUUUUGGUUGCUACUUGCUAAUUGAGUCCCAAAGAUUGCAAAGUCAUUCUCUUAAUUUGAUACUACUGAAAGAUCUGCCAAAGUCAUGGAUACGAUUACGAUAUCAAACAUAAUAGUAACAGUUAUGUUGAAUGAUCUCUAUGUGACACAGCAGAUCGAAACAUCACACAACAUACUUGGAACAUCAAGGUUGAAAGCUGCUGCAAUCCCUCAGUAGCAGCGACUGGGGCAAACGGUGACCAUCGCGCGUCGACGGGGUGGUUGGCUGCAGAUGAGUAUCAGCACUAACGCAAUGAUGACUGCAACAAGGAAGCCCAUCAUGUCUAUCCCACCAUUUCCAUCAUCAUCAUCUGCUGCUCCACAGCAAAUUUUCCCCAUAGGAGAAGGCAGAGAGAGAGAGAGAGAGAGAGAGAGAGAGAGAGAGGUAAGAAGAACUAAGGUGAGGUUCCAAGAAUUAUAGAGUCAUGAACACAAGUGGUAGCUUUCCAGCUUUAAACUCCCAAUACUCUAUGAUUGAGCAGUUAGAAUAUCGCCAUCAUCUAGCUUAUUUCUUGAUUUCUUUAUCUUAGUCUGUGGACUUGACAAGGCCAAACGCUAGUCAAGGCCCGCAGCACUAAUUGCUGCAUGCUAUCUACAGUGGCAGGAUGCGUUGUUAACGUUGUAAAAACGUGGGCUGCGCCAACUUGGAAGUUGACUGAAUCCUGAUCUAAAAUAAAUGAAGGAUGACCCCAUCACCGCUCUUUUA